rnacentral:misc_RNA from 1 species
GUGAAUCAUCGAAUCUUUGAACGCAAAUUGCACUCUCUGGUAUUCCGGAGAGUAUGCCUGUUUGAGGGUCAGUUUAAAUAAAAAUCUGUGUGUUGCUUCUUUGUGACGCUCCGGAGUUUGGGUCAUCUUAAUAUCCUUUAGGUUUUGAGAGGCUUAAAAUUGACUUUGUUUGCGCAUUUGAGAUUUACAUUAAUUCUUUUUUUUAUUCGUCUGUCUUGGUUCUCAAUAUCCUAUUAGAUGCGACCCGAUCGGGUG